rnacentral:rRNA from 1 species
GGCGAGUGAAGCGGGAAGAGCCCAGCACCGAAUCAGCCUCCUAUAGGUGGUAGAACUGUGGUGUUUAGGACAUUCCUUUUGCAUUGCACCUGCGUCUGAGUCCUCCUGAUUGGGGCUAUCCCAUAGUGGGUGUAAGGCCUCUACUGAUGCUAGUCAAUGUACCCGGAAUGUCCUUGGAGUCGGGUUGUUUGGGAAUGCAGCCCAAAGUGGGUGGUAAACUCCAUUUAAGGCUAAA